CCUCAGGUCUGUAAUCUUGGUGGGCGAUACAGAGUUGUGUGCGUUCACUGUAAGUGCAGACCAACAAGAAGUUGACCCUACUUUUGAGCUCCCUCUUUAAUGGGGGGG
rnacentral:snoRNA from 1 species